rnacentral:rRNA from 1 species
AUUGAACGCUGGCGGCAGGCCUAACACAUGCAAGUCGAACGAGUGGCGGACGGGUGAGUAAUUUCUGGGAACCUGGCUGAUCGAGGGGGAUAACUACUGGAAACGGUGGCUAAUACCGCAUACCAUCCGAUCGGCCCACAUUGGAUUGGCUGGUUGGUGGGGUAACGGCUCACCAAGGCGACGAUUCCUAGCUGGUCUGAGAGGAUGACCGGCCACACUGGGACUGAGACACGGCCCAGACUCCUACGGGAGGCAGCAGUGGGGAAUAUUGCACAAUGGGCGCAAGCCUGACGCAGCAAUGCCGCGUGUAUGAAGAAGGUUUUCGGGUUGUAAAGUACUGUCAGCGGGGAGGCGUUACCCGAAGAAGAAGCACCGGCUAACUCCGUGCCAGCAGCCGCGGUAAUAC